AAAGCACGUACCACAAAGGGACCUGGAAACAAAAACGAGAAUCAACUUUGAUUUUUAUAUCGCAAUACCACCUCAUGAGCAAAUAAAGUGGAGAGCUGGAUUUGGUUUGCUGACUCCUGGGACAGAAGACAGACUGAAGGAUGUCUGAGGAAAUGAAUGAGUAAAAGCCACCAUUUUUGUUUUGUGGAGAGCUGGAUUUGGUUUGCUGACUCCUGGGACAGAAGACAGACUGAAGGAUGUCUGAGGAAAUGAAUGAGUAAAAGUCACCAUUUUUGUUUUGUAAGUCUUUGCUAUAGCAGAAGCAUUUUUUGUUUUGUUUUGUUUUGUUUUUAAAGAAAGCUUUGUAGGAUCCUGAUAGACUUCUGGUUUCCUAUGUAUCUAUUAUGCCCAACAAAAGAAAUAAAGUUGAAUAAAUAAUUAUAUAUCUACAUAAUAGGUUAUGAAACAGCUAUUAAAAUACUUUGCAAGGAUUUUAAUGACAUGGGAAAGUGUUCAAGAUACAGUGUUAAAGGGAAAAGAAUACGAAAGUCAAUAUAUAAUAGCAAUUACAUAAAAAAAAAAUACGUCCAUACAGAAAGAGCAGUAAUAAAAAGUACUAAAAUGGUGAAUGAUUACAGGAAUUCUGAAUGAUUUUUGUAUUCUUACCUAGACGAUUCAGUAUUUUCUAAAUAUUUCACUAUGUGCAUUUAUUACCUCUUAAUAAAAAAAUUAGUUUUAGUUUAGCAUUUAAAAUUAUUUAAACUAGCCCUUUAAGAUGCUAUAAAAUGCAAGACAGAGUUUACUUUU
rnacentral:lncRNA from 1 species